CCCUUAGAUGUCCGGGGCUGCACGCGCGCUACACUGAAGGAAUCAGCGUGCUAAAACCAUUGUCGAAAGGCAUUGGUAAACCCAUUAAAAUCCUACGUGAUUGGGAUCGGGAAUUGCAAUUAUUUCUCUUGAACGAGGAAUUCCCAGUAAGUGUGGGUCAUAAGCUCGCGUUGAUUACGUCCCUGCCCUUUGUACACACCGCCCGUCGCUGCCCGGGACUGAGCCGUUUCGAGAAAAGCGGGGACUGCUGCUGUCGGGGCUUUCGGGCCUUGGCUUCGGUGGAAACCGCUUUAAUCGCAGUGGCUUGAACCGGGCAAAAGUCGUAACA
rnacentral:rRNA from 1 species